AUCAGAGAGAGACGCUCAGAAAAGUCACACUUAGAAACAUCCACUAAACAAACAGUUACUACUCUGCAUCCACCUAAGACAACUACAAAAGCCUCUGAAAUCCCUAUGGAACUCGGGUUCAUCAGAGGUCCAUUAACUCUACAGGAAAAAUUAAGAAGAAAAGCUUUAGAUCUCUGUAUGUAUUGUGGAGGGAUCGAUCACUCUGUAAAGGACUGCUCUCAAUUACAGCGUAGGAAGGUGGGAUCAGCAAAGACUCAACUCACAAGCAAUCCUUGACUCUGGUGCCAGCCACAAUUAUAUAGAUUACCAAUUCACUACUGUAAAUAAAAUUCCACUAGUUAAGAAAA